CCUACGGGUGGCAGCAGUGAGGAAUAUUGGUCAAUGGACGAGAGUCUGAACCAGCCAAGUAGCGUGAAGGAUGACUGCCCUAUGGGUUGUAAACUUCUUUUAUAUGGGAAUAAAACGUUCCACGUGUGGGAUUUUGUAUGUACCAUAUGAAUAAGGAUCGGCUAACUCCGUGCCAGCAGCCGCGGUAAUACGGAGGAUCCGAGCGUUAUCCGGAUUUAUUGGGUUUAAAGGGAGCGUAGGCGGAUUGUUAAGUCAGUUGUGAAAGUUUGCGGCUCAACCGUAAAAUGGCAGUUGAAACUGGCAGUCUUGAGUACAGUAGAGGUGUGCGGAAUGCGUGGUGUAGCGGUGAAAUGCUUAGAUAUCACGAAGAACUCCGAUUGCGAAGGCAGUUCACUGGACUGCAACUGACACUGAGGCUCGAAAGUGUGGGUAUCAAACAGGAUUAGAUACCCCAGUAGUC
rnacentral:rRNA from 1 species